rnacentral:rRNA from 1 species
AAACUACCACGAGGUUAAAGCGGAUGUACAUACGUAGCCGAUAAGGGGGCCUCAUCUCCUCGAGCCUCCAGCGGUCGUCGCGUUCGGACCUUCGCUUUUAUUAGUCCCCGCUUCAUCGGCGGGGAUAACCGGCGUUGGCCGUCGCGACGGCGGACUCGGAGGAUGGGGGGUGGAUUUCCCUCCUUCGUAGGCAGUCGCGGCCGUUCGAGAGUCGUCGAAGACCCGGGAGUCGGGAACCGUCCCGCGAAUAAUACUCGCGGGCGGGGACGCUCCCUCGAAUCUGGCGGACUCUCGGACGGUUGCUAAAAAAUGACGACGCGGAAGAGAUCGAAUCUCUUCCCGUCGUACGCGGCUGUGAUGCGAUCGUUCAUCCGUCCCGUCUUGAAACACGGACCAAGGAGUCUAACAUGUACGCGAGUCAACGGGUUGGCUAAACCCCAAGGCGCAACGAAAGUAAAAAAGAGCGUUCUCUUAACGGGGGACGCUCGUUGGGUCGAUCCGUGAUCCUCCUCCUCCUGCUCAGGUAGGUAGGUAGGUAGGACCGGCGCAGACCCGGGGCUCGGCGCUAUCUCUUCGCGACUCUCGUUAGUCGCGAGGCGAACGGCGGGCACCUAGAGCGUACAUGCUAGUACCCGAAAGAUGGUGAUCUAUGCUUGGCCAGGAUGAAGCCAGAGGAAACUCUGGUGGAGGUCCGUAGCGAUUCUGACGUGCAAAUCGAUCGUCAGAGCUGAGUAUAGGGGCGAAAGA